GUUUUUUGUUUGAAAAAGCAUGAGAUCCAAAAAUUAGACAUUUACAUAGAAUUUCCAAAAAUAUAUUCAUACCGAUUUUCCUACUCAUCAUUUCCAAUCUCCAUUAUCGAGAUUUUCUUCCUAAAUUUGUUAGAGAUAAUGAUGGAAGGGUAAAAGCGUCAUUCCGUAGUCAUAUAAAUGGGGUUUUUCGAAGCAUUGCGGCAAUGUACCACUUUGGAAAAGAUUUUAACAUUUCAGUCCCUUUCUCACAAUUAAUUCUAUAAAUUAUUGAGUUAAAUUUUCUAAAACAAAAAUUUAUAUAAUAAGACACUUUUUUUUGUCGGAAAUUUAUGGACACUUUUGUUGGCAAUAUUUUUUUUUGGCUUUUUUU
rnacentral:sRNA from 1 species